AUCAAUAGGUCCUGAGGGAACUGGCAGACGAAGUGGCUAAGCCACCAUCCAUCAUAUUGGAGAAGUUGUGGCAGUCUGGGGAAGUUCCCACCGACUGGAAAAGGGGAAGCAAACCCCCCAUUU